rnacentral:rRNA from 1 species
GGAAUGAAUGGCUUAGUGAGGCCUUCGGAUCGAAUUUCGAAGACUGGCAACAGUCUUUGUUUUUUGAAAAGUUGUACAAACUUGGUCAUUUAGAGGAAGUAAAAGUCGUAACAAGGUUUCCGUAGGUGAACCUGCGGAAGGAUCAUUAUUGAUUUUAGCUUAACCUGGCUUUUUAGCCAAGGUUAAUGCGAAAUUUUGUAUUUAAAACCCACUCUUACAUGAAUCAUAUUUUUUUUAUUGUGAUAAAAAAGAUCACUUUCAACAACGGAUUUCUUGGUUCUCGCAUCGAUGAAGAACGUAGCCAAGUGCGAUAAGUAAUGUGAAUUGCAGAAUUCCGUGAGUCAUCGAAUCUUUGAACGCAAAUUGCACUUUCUGGUAUUCCGGAAAGUAUGCCUGUUUGAGGGUCAAUUUAAUAACAAUCGAUGUGUUGCUUUUAUUAGUAAUACAACGGAUUUGAGUUAUCUUAUCCUUAGGUUAAGAGGCUUAAAAUUAAUUUAAUUUUGUAUUAAGACGUACUUAGAAUUUUCUAUGCGUUUCGGAUGCAAGGAUUUUAUUAGGUAUGAUCAUAUUUUUCAUGAUAUCAUACUCAUAAUUUUUUCAACUUUUGACCUCAAGUCAGGUAAGAAUACCCGCUGAACUUAAGCAUAUCAAUAAGCGGAGGAAAAGAAAAUAACAAUGAUUCCCUUAGUAACUGCGAGUGAAGAGGGAUAAGCUCAAAUUUUAAAUCUGUUAGGUUUACCUAACCGAGUUGUAAUUUGAAGAGGCGUUUUCUACGUUUUUGAUCAGUCCAAAUUCCUUGGAAUAGGAUAUCAUGGAGGGUGAGAAUCCCGUUCGGCUGAUCGAUACGUUUUACGAUACGCUUUCAAAGAGUCAAGUUGUUUGGGAUUGCAGCUUAAAAUGGGAGGUAAAUUUCUCCUAAGGCUAAAUAUAGGCGAGAGACCGAUAGCGAACAAGUACCGUGAGGGAAAGAUGAAAAGUACUU